GCCCAAGUAAGGAUAGCCACGAAGGUGGUCUAAUACCUUAUAGUAUCCAUCUCGUAUGGAUUAAAGCUUUAUGCGCUUUGGAGGGGCCUGCGUUUGAUUAGCUAGUUGGUGAGGUAAAAGCUCACCAAGGCGACGAUCAAUAGCUGGUUUGAGAGGAUGACCAGCCACACUGGGACUGAGAUACGGCCCAGACUCCUACGGGAGGCAGCAGUAAGGAAUCUUCCACAAUGGGGCAACCCUGAUGGAGCAAUACCGCGUGCAGGAUGAAGCGUUUCGGCGUGUAAACUGCUUUUAUCACCGAAGAUUAUGACUGUAGGUGAAGAAUAAGGACCGGCUAACUACGUG
rnacentral:rRNA from 1 species